rnacentral:rRNA from 1 species
AUUGAACGCUGGCGGCAGGCCUAACACAUGCAAGUCGAGCGGAUGAAGGGAGCUUGCUCCUGGAUUCAGCGGCGGACGGGUGAGUAAUGCCUAGGAAUCUGCCUGGUAGUGGGGGAUAACGUCCGGAAACGGGCGCUAAUACCGCAUACGUCCUGAGGGAGAAAGUGGGGGAUCUUCGGACCUCACGCUAUCAGAUGAGCCUAGGUCGGAUUAGCUAGUUGGUGGGGUAAAGGCCUACCAAGGCGACGAUCCGUAACUGGUCUGAGAGGAUGAUCAGUCACGCUGGAACUGAGACACGGUCCAGACUCCUACGGGAGGCAGCAGUGGGGAAUAUUGGACAAUGGGCGAAAGCCUGAUCCAGCCAUGCCGCGUGUGUGAAGAAGGUCUUCGGAUUGUAAAGCACUUUAAGUUGGGAGGAAGGGCAGUAAGUCAAUACCUUGCUGUUUUGACGUUACCAACAGAAUAAGCACCGGCUAACUUCGUG